rnacentral:rRNA from 1 species
GUCUCUUCGGGGAUGAUUAAACCGGCGCACGGGUGAGUAACACGUGAGUGACCUGCCUUUUAGACUGGAACAACUUACCGAAAGGUGAGCUAAUGCCGGAUGAGUUAUAUAAGUGCAUGUUUAUAUAGGAAAAGUUGGGGAGACCUGACGCUGAAAGAUGGACUCGCGUCCCAUUAGCUAGUUGGUAGGGUAAUGGCCUACCAAGGCGACGAUGGGUAGCCGGCCUGAGAGGGUGGCCGGCCACACUGGGACUGAGACACGGCCCAGACUCCUACGGGAGGCAGCAGUGGGGAAUUUUGCGCAAUGCUCGUAAGAGUGACGCAGCGACGCCGCGUGAAUGACGAAGGCCUUCGGGUCGUAAAGUUCUUUCGACAGGGAAGAAAAUGCCUAUAAGUAACUGUGUAUGUAUUGACGGUACCUGUAUAAGCAGCCCCGGCUAACUCCGUGCCAGCAGCCGCGGUAAUACGGAGGGGGCGAGCGUUGUUCGGAGUGACUGGGCGUAAAGAGCACGUAGGCGGUGUUGUAAGUCAUUAGUCAAAGACUAGAGCUCAACUUUAGUAAGGCUAGUGAUACUAUAAUACUAGAGUAUCAGAGAGGAUUGCAGAAUUCCUGGUGUAGCGGUGAAAUGCGUAGAUAUCAGGAGGAAUACCGUUAGCGAAGGCGGCAAUCUGGCUGGAAACUGACGCUGAGGUGCGAAAGCGUGGGUAGCAAACAGGAUUAGAUACCCUGGUAGUCCACGCUGUAAACGAUGGAUG